AUCCAUGUGAAAUUCUUCAAUAACCCCAAAUACCCAAUAUGUAAAUGAAGGAAAGGAAAAACUCAGCAUCUCUACCCUCUCAAAUAUUUCUCCACCGAAUCAUACCCACCCUUUUCUCAUAAAUCAAACCCUUAGGACCCAAUCCUCAAUCCUUCAAAUUGAGUAUUUGCAUGUGCACUAAUCUGCAUAAGAUCAUGUUUUGGGGGGAAAAGAAGAUUAAGGACUGUUUAAGAACAAGUAGAAUUUGGGAGUGAAGAAACUAAAGUGGAGGAGUUGAGAGAAAGCGCAAGAACAAGAUCUAAAUUUAAUGGGUGUCAUCUUUUGUGCAAAGGGGCUGGAAUAUGGGACAAGAACAGACCUUGGAGCUGUAGAGAAUUGAUAGCUUCAAGUUCUUCAUUAAAUUGAGAAAGUAAGUAAAUUCUCUGCACUUUUUCGUCUGGACCUGUCUUCAGUAAUCGAGUCAUAGCUGACAAACCGUACAUCCGUUUUGAAUAGUCCUUACAUUUCUGGAAAGCCGACGAAAUACCUGUCGUCUCGGUGCCAACCACGUAUAAUUUGGAUCAAUAUUGAGGGCUGGAGACGCCUUUGAAGUUGGAGCUCUGAUGCAGAAUUAUGCAGAAAAUUCUGAUUAUGGGUUUAUAGCAUUUCAGUUGCAAAUUAUGCGUUUCGGCGAGCUCUGAAAGUGUCGCUGGUAUUGUUCAAGCUUCUUUUCAGAUAAGCAGGUUGAUCAAGAUAUCAUGGUCUGCAAGCAUGGAGUUCAGAUACUUGGAUUAUGCUAGUUGAGCUGACGUCAUGUUAUCUUAUAAUUGUAUAAGAUUUAGUUUCUUUAUGUUUUCAGUUGUUAGCUCAAUUUAGUAUUAAUCUCUUGGAUUUUGUAAUCCUAUUUAUGUAUUCGGACAAUAUGUAAUGAAAAUUUAAUGUUUUCCGAUUCAGUUAUGUACACUCUUAUCGAUAUUCUAGAUAAAUCGAUGUGAGGUGUUAUAAUUGGUAUCAGAGCAGGUCGAUUCAGUAUCGGACCUUGCCGCGGAUCAUUAAAGUUCAAUAAAAGUAGUACGGACCCUUUGGAGUCUGAACUGUUUACGCUGAAA